AUUGAACGCUGGCGGCAUGCCUUACACAUGCAAGUCGAACGGUAACAGGUUAAGCUGACGAGUGGCGAACGGGUGAGUAAUGUAUCGGAACGUGCCCAGUCGUGGGGGAUAACUGCUCGAAAGAGCAGCUAAUACCGCAUACGACCUGAGGGUGAAAGCGGGGGAUCGCAAGACCUCGCGCGAUUGGAGCGGCCGAUAUCAGAUGAGGUAGUUGGUGAGGUAAAGGCUCACCAAGCCGACGAUCUGUAGCUGGUCUGAGAGGACGACCAGCCAACCUGGAGCUGAGACACGGCCCAGACUCCUCCGGGAGGCAGCAGUGGGGAAUUUUGGACAAUGGGCGCAAGCCUGAUUCAGCCAUGCCGCGUGCGGGAAGAAGGCCUUCGGGUUGUAAACCGCUUUUGUCAGGGAAGAAAAGGUUCUGGCUAAUACCUGGGACUCAUGACGGUACCUGAAGAAUAAGCACCGGCUAACUACGUGCCAGCAGCCGCCGUAACAC
rnacentral:rRNA from 1 species